UACAGAGGUCUCAAGCGUUGUUCGGAUUCAUUGGGCGUAAAGGGUGCGUAGGUGGCGCGCUAAGUCAGGUGUGAAAUUUCGGAGCUUAACUCCGAAACUGCAUUUGAUACUGGCGUGCUUGAGGACUGGAGAGGAGACUGGAAUUCACGGUGUAGCAGUGAAAUGCGUAGAGAUCGUGAGGAAGACCAGCGGCGAAGGCGGGUCUCUGGACAGUUCCUGACACUGAGGCACGAAGGCCAGGGGAGCAAACGGG
rnacentral:rRNA from 1 species